UACGUAGGGUGCAAGCGUUGUCCGGAAUUAUUGGGCGUAAAGAGCUCGUAGGCGGUUUGUCGCGUCUGCUGUGAAAACCCGAGGCUCAACCUCGGGCCUGCAGUGGGUACGGGCAGACUAGAGUGGCGGUAGGGGAGAUUGGAAUUCCUGGUGUAGCGGUGGAAUGCGCAGAUAAUCAGGAGGAACACCAAUGGCGAAGGCAGAUCUCUGGGCCGUAACUGACGCUGAGGAGCGAAAGCAUGGGGAGCGAACAGG
rnacentral:rRNA from 1 species